CUAACCGUCUUGUCGUUGUAGAAGGAGAUAGC
rnacentral:sRNA from 1 species